GGCGAUCAGAUACCGCCCUAGUUCUGACCGUAAACGAUGCCAACUAGCGAUCCGCCGGCGGCUUCUCGGCCCUGGUGGGGAGCUUUCCGGAAACGAAAGUCUUCCGGUUCCGGGGGAAGUAUGGUUGCAAAGCUGAAACUUAAAGGAAUUGACGGAAGGGCACCACCAGGAGUGGAGCCUGCGGCUUAAUUUGACUCAACACGGGAAAACUCACCCGGCCCGGACACCGUGAGGAUUGACAGAUUGAUAGCUUUUUCAUGAUUCGGUGGUUGGUGGUGCAUGGCCGUUCUUAGUUCGUGGAUCGAUUUGUCUGGUUUAUUCCGAUAACGAGCGAGACUCCAGCCUACUAACUAGUGCGGGCAUUGCCUCUGUGCUUGUCACUUCUUAGAGGGAUUGGCUGCGCCUAGCGGCACGAAACGGAGCAAUAACAGGUCUGUGAUGCCCUUAGAUGUCCGGGGCUGCACGCGCGCUACACUGGCAAAGGCAGCGUGCUUGUCCGCCUCCGAAAGGAGCCGGUAAACCCUUGAAAAUUUGCCGUGAUUGGGAUCGGAAAUUGCAAUUAUUUUCCGUGAACGAGGAAUUCCUAGUAAGUGCGAGUCAUCAGCUCGCGUUGAUUACGUCCCUGCCCUUUGUA
rnacentral:rRNA from 1 species